ACCUGGGUGGCUCAGUCGGUUGAGCGUCCGACUUCGGCUCGGGUCAUGAUCUCGCGGUCCGUGGGUUCGAGCCCUGCAUCGGGCU
rnacentral:tRNA from 1 species